UACGGGGGGGGCAAGCGUUGUUCGGAUUUACUGGGCGUAAAGAGCGCGCAGGCGGUCGUUCAAGUCGCGUGUGAAAGCCCCCGGCUCAACUGGGGAGGGUCACGCGAUACUGAUCGACUGGAAGGCAGGAGAGGGUAGUGGAAUUCCCGGUGUAGUGGUGAAAUGCGUAGAUAUCGGGAGGAACACCAGUGGCGAAGGCGACUACCUGGCCUGUUCUUGACGCUGAGGCGCGAAAGCUAGGGGAGCAAACGGG
rnacentral:rRNA from 1 species